rnacentral:rRNA from 1 species
UACGUAGGGUGCAAGCGUUAAUCGGAAUUACUGGGCGUAAAGCGUGCGCAGGCGGUUGGUUAAGUCUGAUGUGAAAGCCCCGAGCUCAACUUGGGAAUGGCAUUGGAAACUGGCUGGCUAGAGUGUGGCAGAGGGGGGGUGGAAUUCCGCGUGUAGCAGUGAAAUGCGUAGAGAUGCGGAGGAACACCGAUGGCGAAGGCAGCCCCCUGGGCUGACACUGACGCUCAGGCACGAAAGCGUGGGGAGCAAACAGG